AGACCCGAAACCCGGUGAUCUAGCCAUGGGCAGGUUGAAGGUUGGGUAACACUAACUGGAGGACCGAACCGACUAAUGUUGAAAAAUUAGCGGAUGACCUGUGGCUGGGGGUGAAAGGCCAAUCAAACCGGGAGAUAGCUGGUUCUCCCCGAAAGCUAUUUAGGUAGCGCCUCGUGAAUUCAUCUCCGGGGGUAGAGCACUGUUUCGGCUAGGGGGCCAUCCCGGCUUACCAACCCGAUGCAAACUGCGAAUACCGGAGAAUGUUAUCACGGGAGACACACGGCGGGUGCUAACGUCCGUCGUGAAGAGGGAAACAACCCAGACCGCCAGCUAAGGUCCCAAAGUCAUGGUUAAGUGGGAAACGAUGUGGGAAGGCCCAGACAGCCAGGAUGUUGGCUUAGAAGCAGCCAUCAUUUAAAGAAAGCGUAAUAGCUCACUGGUCGAGUCGGCCUGCGCGGAAGAUGUAACGGGGCUAAACCAUGCACCGAAGCUGCGGCAGCGAACGUAUCACUUAAAGCGAUUCAGCGGGUUACGACUGACGGAGCGAAGCGACGUCAAAGCGUAUACAAAGUCGAGUCGGUUUAAGGAUACGUUCGUUGGGUAGGGGAGCGUUCUGUAAGCCUGCGAAGGUGGCCUGUGAGGGUUGCUGGAGGUAUCAGAAGUGCGAAUGCUGACAUAAGUAACGAUAAAGCGGGUGAAAAGCCCGCUCGCCGGAAGACCAAGGGUUCCUGUCCAACGUUAAUCGGGGCAGGGUGAGUCGACCCCUAAGGCGAGGCCGAAAGGCGUAGUCGAUGGGAAACGGGUUAAUAUUCCCGUACUUGGUGUUACUGCGAAGGGGGGACGGAGAAGGCUAUGUUGGCCGGGCGACGGUUGUCCCGGUUUAAGCGUGUAGGUGUGUGUUCCAGGUAAAUCCGGUU
rnacentral:rRNA from 1 species